rnacentral:rRNA from 1 species
GUAGGUGGCAAGCGUUGUCCGGAAUUAUUGGGCGUAAAGCGCGCGCGGGCGGUUCUUUAAGUCUGAUGUGAAAGCCCACGGGCUCAACCGUGGAGGGUCAUUGGAAACUGGAGAACUUGAGUACAGAAGAGGAAAGCGGAAUUCCACGUGUAGCGGUGAAAUGCGUAGAGAUGUGGAGGAACACCAGUGGCGAAGGCGGCUUUCUGGUCUGUAACUGACGCUGAGGCGCGAAAGCGUGGGGAGCAAACAGGAUUAGAUACCCUGGUAGUCCACGCCGUAAACGAUGAGUGCUAAGUGUUAGGGGGUUUCCGCCCCUUAGUGCUGCAGCUAACGCAUUAAGCACUCCGCCUGGGGAGUACGGCCGCAAAGGCUG